CAUGACAUCCCGCUUUUGAAUAGGCGGAGAUUCAAGAGGAGAAAUCGCAAGACCCGGCGCUUGAUGAGGGGCCCGCGUCCGAUUAGCUAGUUGGUGAGGUAACGGCUCACCAAGGCAACGAUCGGUAUCCGGCCUGAGAGGGCGGACGGACACACUGGGACUGAGACACGGCCCAGACUCCUACGGGAGGCAGCAGUGGGGAAUUGUUCGCAAUGGGCGCAAGCCUGACGACGCAAUGCCGCGUGGAGGAUGAAGGUCUUCGGAUUUUAUUUUCCUGUUGCCAGGGACGAAUGGCUCCGACCUAAUACGUCGGAGUAUGACGGUACCUGGUGAGGAAGCCCCGGCUAACUCUG
rnacentral:rRNA from 1 species